rnacentral:rRNA from 1 species
AGAGUUUGAUCAUGGCUCAGGACGAACGCUGGCGGCGCGCCUAAAACAUGCAAGUCGAACGAGAAGCCCGGGCUUGCCCGGGUGGACAGUGGCGAACGGGUGAGUAACACGUGAGGAACCUGCCCCGAAGACCGGGACAACACCGGGAAACCGGUGCUAAUACCGGAUACCUUCGCCGGAUCGCAUGGUCCGGUGAAGAAAUGGAUUCCGCUUCGGGAUGGCCUCGCGGCCUAUCAGCUUGUUGGUGAGGUAACGGCUCACCAAGGCAACGACGGGUAGCUGGUCUGAGAGGAUGUCCAGCCACACUGGGACUGAGACACGGCCCAGACUCCUACGGGAGGCAGCAGUUAGGAAUCUUGCGCAAUGGACGAAAGUCUGACGCAGCGACGCCGCGUGCGGGAUGAAGGCCCUCGGGUUGUAAACCGCUUUCAGCAGGGACGAAAUUGACGGUACCUGCAGAAGAAGCCCCGGCCAACUACGUGCCAGCAGCCGCGGUAAUACGUAGGGGGCAAGCGUUGUCCGGAUUUAUUGGGCGUAAAGAGCUCGUAGGUGGUUUGGUAAGUCGGAUGUGAAAUCUCCAGGCUCAACCUGGAGGGGUCAUUCGAUACUGCCAUGACUAGAGGUCGGUAGGGGAGUGUGGAAUUCCUGGUGGAGCGGUGAAAUGCGCAGAUAUCAGGAGGAACACCCGUAGCGAAGGCGGCACUCUGGGCCGAUACUGACACUGAGGAGCGAAAGCGUGGGGAGCGAACAGGAUUAGAUACCCUAGUAGUCC